UACAGAGGGGGCAAGCGUUGUUCGGAAUUACUGGGCGUAAAGGGCGCGUAGGCGGCCUGCUAAGUCGAACGUGAAAUCCCCGAGCUCAACUCGGGAACUGCGUCCGAUACUGGCAGGCUUGAAUCCGGGAGAGGGAUGCGGAAUUCCAGGUGUAGCGGUGAAAUGCGUAGAUAUCGGGAGGAACACCGGUGGCGAAGGCGGCCUUCUGGACGGAUACUGACGCUGAUACGCGAAAGCGUGGGGAGCAAACAGG
rnacentral:rRNA from 1 species